rnacentral:rRNA from 1 species
UCCGUAGGUGAACCUGCGGAGGGAUCAUUACACAACAAAAUAUGAAGGCCUGGCUUCGCGGCCGGCUGAAAUAUUUUUUCACCCAUGUCUUUUGCGCACUUGUUGUUUCCUGGGCGGGUUCGCCCGCCACCAGGACCAAACCAUAAACCUUUUUUUAUGCAGUUGCAAUCAGCGUCAGUAAAAACAAUGUAAUUAUUACAACUUUCAACAACGGAUCUCUUGGUUCUGGCAUCGAUGAAGAACGCAGCGAAAUGCGAUACGUAGUGUGAAUUGCAGAAUUCAGUGAAUCAUCGAAUCUUUGAACGCACAUUGCGCCCUUUGGUAUUCCAAAGGGCAUGCCUGUUCGAGCGUCAUUUGUACCUUCAAGCUUUGCUUGGUGUUGGGCGUUUUUGUCUCCCUCUUUCUGGGAGACUCGCCUUAAAACGAUUGGCAGCCGGCCUACUGGUUUCGGAGCGCAGCACAUAUUUUGCGCUUUGUAUCAGGAGAAAAGGACGGUAAUCCAUCAAGACUCUACAUUUUUAACUUUUGACCUCGGAUCAGGUAGGGAUACCCGCUGAACUUAAGCAUAUCAAUAAGCGGAGGA